rnacentral:ncRNA from 1 species
CCUUCCAUCCCAAGUCAACAAAAUUGAAAACCAUUUUUGAGAGUUGUUGGUGACUCAUCCUAUAAAUGAUGACAACGUUAGGAGAUCCGAAGACAUCGUCCAGGGCUCCGGGAAGACUUAUCUUUUCUUUUUAAUAGCUUGCCCACCCUGAAAUCGGCUCAAUCGGAGAUAGGGUCCAAUAGCUAGAAGAGCAUCGAACGUCUUGCAGUGUCUGGUGCACCCUCGACAGCCCUUGAAACUCUGGAGGACCGAGUACCAUCCAUGCAUUAUCAUACUCAUAAUCACAUUAUAUCUCCAAGGUGAACAACCUCUAGUCAAUAGAACAAUGUAGGUAAGGGAAGUUGGAAAAAUGGAUCCGUAACUUCAGGAAAAGUAUUGGCUCUAAGGGCUGGGCUUAGGGGUCUACAUCCUCAACCCGUGGGCUAUUGGCAGUCUACCCGUGGGACUGACAUUGAUUAAUGCUACCUCCUUUUGAAUGGUAGUGAAACUAAUUAAUGCUACCUCCUUUUGAAUGGU